rnacentral:rRNA from 1 species
AUUGAACGCUGGCGGCAGGCUUAACACAUGCAAGUCGAGCGAGCGGCGGACGGGUGAGUAAUGACUGGGCAACUGCCUGAUGGAGGGGGAUAACUACUGUAACCGGUAGCUACUACCGCAUACCAUCAGAUGCGCCCAGAUGGGCUGAGCUAGUAGGUGGGGUAAUGGCUCACCUAGGCGACGAUCCCGAGCUGGUCUGAGAGGAUGACCAGCAAACAGAGAACUGAGAAACGGUCCAUAAGCCUACGGAAGGAAGCAGUGGGGAAUAUUGCACAAGGAGCGCAAGCCUGAAGCAGCAGUGCCGCGUGUGUGAAGAAGGCCUGCGGGUUGUAGAGCACUGUCAGCGAGGAGGCGUUACUCGCAGAAGAAGCACCGGCAAACUCCGUGCCAGCAGCCGCGGUAAUAC